GUGGGAAGUGGAAGCAGAGAUUGGGAAGCCAAGUCCCUUGGAUUGGGGAUCCAAGCUCCCUGGGACACAGCUGGGAGAUGGGGAUUGUGAUGUGAUGUAGGAAGUAUGGUAUGGGGUGGAGAGAGGCGAUAGCAAAGAGGGAUUGGCCAACAUGUGAGGUUAACAAGCAGCAUUCACAGCUGAAAGUCAUCCAGCCCAUAAUGAUCUGUACUAAUUUGGUCACUACAGGAGUCACUGUUGGCUGUAGGCAAAGGAGGGCUACUCAGUGUUUGUGUCAGGGCCGCUGCUGAGCACUGUGGACCCACAGGGAGGAUGAGCAGAGCAGGUCGGUGCUGUGGUCCCUCCUGGCCAGGACACGGAAGCUUCUGGCUCUGAAUUUAAACCCGAAGACAGUCGAGAUCUCAAUGACAGCCAGCUCUCUUGCAGCACAAUGCUCAGACUCCUGAAGCUUCCCCACCAUCCAUGUAAUAAAUAAAUAAUCAC
ensembl:lncRNA